rnacentral:rRNA from 1 species
UGGAUCCAGACUUUGAUUCUGGCUCAGGACGAACGCUGGCGGCGUGCCUAACACAUGCAAGUCGAACGAGAAGAAAUGAGAAGCUUGCUUCUUAUUGAUUCGAGUGGCAAACGGGUGAGUAACGCGUAAGCAACCUGCCCUCUAGAUGGGGACAACAGCUGGAAACGGCUGCUAAUACCGAAUACGUUCUUUCUGUCGCAUGGCAGAAGGAAGAAAGGGAGGCUCUUCGGAGCUUUCGCUGGAGGAGGGGCUUGUGUCUGAUUAGCUAGUUGGAGGGGUAACGGCCCACCAAGGCGACGAUCAGUAGCCGGUCUGAGAGGAUGAACGGCCACAUUGAGACUGAGACACGGCCCAGACUCCUACGGGAGGCAGCAGUGGGGAAUCUUCCGCAAUGGACGAAAGUCUGACGGAGCAACGCCGCGUGAACGAUGACGGCCUUCGGGUUGUAAAGUUCUGUUAUACGGGACGAAUGGCGCAACGGUCAAUACCCGUUGUGAGUGACGGUACCGUAAGAGAAAGCCACGGCUAACUACGUGCCAGCAGCCGCGGUAAUACGUAGGUGGCAAGCGUUGUCCGGAAUUAUUGGGCGUAAAGGGCGCGCAGGCGGCGUCGUAAGUCGGUCUUAAAAGUGCGGGGCUUAACCCCGUGAGGGGACCGAAACUGCGAUGCUAGAGUAUCGGAGAGGAAAGCGGAAUUCCUAGUGUAGCGGUGAAAUGCGUAGAUAUUAGGAGGAACACCAGUGGCGAAAGCGGCUUUCUGGACGACAACUGACGCUGAGGCGCGAAAGCCAGGGGAGCAAACGGGAUUAGAUACCCCGGUAGUCCUGGCCGUAAACGAUGGAUACUAGGUGUAGGAGGUAUCGACCCCUUCUGUGCCGGAGUUAACGCAAUAAGUAUCCCGCCUGGGGAGUACGGCCGCAAGGCUGCAACUCAAAUGAAUUGACGGA